CUGCGCUGGCCCGGGGUGCCCGGGACCCGGAGGUGUUCUGUGGAGACCCAGGGCCUGCUUUUCACUCUAAGGAAUUGUUUCCAGGAAGCUGCUGCUCAAAUGCAAAUGCGUAACCCAGGCUGGGGGCCCUAGCAGUGCCUCUGGAAGAGACCAAGAUGAGCUUGUCAGCGCUCUGGGACAGACCAAGGCGAGCGCGCUUAUUUUCUUCCACUUGAAGCCAACCCAUUUGGGGAGACCUGGGCAGGGACAUCUCGUCUCCUUCAAUUUGGUUGAAUUCUGUCUCUCUGGCACGAACGGCCCUGAGUACUCACGGUGAACGCAGAGGCGGCAGCGCUGCUGCUCCAUGUCCUGAAGCGAUUCUCCUGAUUCUGCCUCGUAAAACAGAAAACCCAACCUACUCGGGGGAAGUGAGUGUCCUGCCUGCC
rnacentral:lncRNA from 10 species